GAUGAACGCUGGCGGCGUGCCUAAUACAUGCAAGUCGAGCGAACGGACGAGAAGCUUGCUUCUCUGAUGUUAGCGGCGGACGGGUGAGUAACACGUGGAUAACCUACCUAUAAGACUGGGAUAACUUCGGGAAACCGGAGCUAAUACCGGAUAAUAUUUUGAACCGCAUGGUUCAAAAGUGAAAGACGGUCUUGCUGUCACUUAUAGAUGGAUCCGCGCUGCAUUAGCUAGUUGGUAAGGUAACGGCUUACCAAGGCAACGAUGCAUAGCCGACCUGAGAGGGUGAUAGCCCACAUUGGAACGGAGACACGGUCCAGACGACUACGGGAGGCAGCAGUCGGGAACCUUCCGCAAUGGGCGAAAGCCUGACGGAGCAACGCCGCGUGAGUGAUGAAGGUCUUCGGAUCGUAAAACUCUGUUAUUAGGGAAGAACAUAUGUGUAAGUAACUGUGCACAUCUUGACGGUAACUAAUCAGAAAGCCACGGCUAACUACGUG
rnacentral:rRNA from 1 species